rnacentral:rRNA from 2 species
UGCAAGUCGAACGCGUCUCCGUUGAUGAUUUUAGGUGCUUGCACUUGAAAGAUUUAACAUUGAGACGAGUGGCGAACUGGUGAGUAACACGUGGGUAACCUGCCCUUGAAGUAGGGGAUAACACUUGGAAACAGGUGCUAAUACCGUAUAACAACCAAAACCACCUGGUUUUGGUUUAAAAGACGGCUUCGGCUGUCACUUUAGGAUGGACCCGCGGCGUAUUAGCUUGUUGGUAAGGUAACGGCCUACCAAGGCGAUGAUACGUAGCCGACCUGAGAGGGUAAUCGGCCACAUUGGGACUGAGACACGGCCCAAACUCCUACGGGAGGCAGCAGUAGGGAAUCUUCCACAAUGGACGAAAGUCUGAUGGAGCAACGCCGCGUGAGUGAUGAAGGGUUUCGGCUCGUAAAACUCUGUUGUUGGAGAAGAACAGGUGUCAGAGUAACUGUUGACAUCUUGACGGUAUCCAACCAGAAAGCCACGGCUAACUACGUGCCAGCAGCCGCGGUAAUACGUAGGUGGCAAGCGUUGUCCGGAUUUAUUGGGCGUAAAGCGAGCGCAGGCGGUUUUUUAGGUCUGAUGUGAAAGCCUUCGGCUUAACCGGAGAAGUGCAUCGGAAACCGGGAGACUUGAGUGCAGAAGAGGACAGUGGAACUCCAUGUGUAGCGGUGAAAUGC